AUGAAACAAGAUGAAACAAGAUGAAACAAGAUGAAACCAAAUGAAACUCGAAGUACGGGCGUAGAUGGGCCGCGAAUGAAACAAGAUGAAACAAGAUGAAACAAUGUAUGGGCGUAGAUGGGGCGCACGCGACCAUGUACCACGCGUGCACGAGCGAAAAGAACUGAGUCCAAUCAUUGAAAUAAUUUUGUUUGCAGAGGCAAUUCGCGCAAGUGAGGGAUAGCAUUAUUUUGAUGGCUUGCGAGUGACAGCACGAGCCGAAUUUAUUGCCCGUGGAAGUACCCACGAUAGGAAUACACUGUUAGGAACAUGGUGGCGCCGCUGACGGUACCUAUGAUACUAUGUAAGUGGAAUUACUUUAUUGGAAGUACCCACGACGGGGAAAAUAGUCUCUCUAGUAUUGUCGGUGAAUGGUGAUGGUGGUGGUGGCGAUGGCUACUUUCCUCUGCUCAGAGAGAACCCCAGCAUGUCCUCUUCGUCGUGAUGCAAAAGAGCAGUGGAUGCAGAAAAUGUCUCUACCUGCCAGGAUGGUAUAAGAGCACGAACUGAAUCACCUGUUGGUGCAGAAGGCUUGGAGGACUGCUUUUGAAACAGUUGUUCAAAUUUCCUGCACCUCUUCGUAGCCGUUGUCUGAUUGCUGCAUUCUGGGGAGACUGAAGUUAAGAAGCCCUCACCGAUACCAACACUACGUCGCUGUGUUGUUUUCUUCCAAGGUCGGGCACAGUAAAGGAGACGACUCUGUAUCAAGACACUACCCAGAGGGAGGAUGUUGGCCUUCUCCUGAUGGGAAAAUGUCUUCUUUCUCAUGGCGUGGCCAGGACUGCACUGACCCUACCAGCCACUCUACCUCUCCGGAAAGGGACUUGACAACCAGUCAAGAUGGAAGUGCAGAGAUAUACCAGCGCUUCUAGCAUUAACUGCCAAUUUGCACUGACGCAGCAAGACUCCCAACAGUCAAGUAUGUUUCAUUGCAUGCACUAGGAUCACAGUAGAAUGCCGAUUAUCCGAAUGUCAACUGUUCAAACGGUCAAUUAUCUGAAAUUCCUGUUUGCACUGAAUUCAAAUCAAUAAGUCGACUUAUACCGCUAAAAUAUGGUAACAGCGGGACUGCAGGGUGUGGCAUUUCCAUGAUACAGUGGAAAAUGCACGAUUUGCUGCUGUUAUAAGUGCACCGAUGUCCUCCGCUAACCCCAGAGUCAUUUGGCUUUUUAGCUGUGAUAAAGCGUUUUAAACAAACAGCGAGGAGGCAACAAUUUUAAGACCACAAUCAAUGAGACUGCUCUAAAUAUUGUUUGAUACCGACUCGCUUGAACUCCAGCAGGCUACCACAUAGUGAUUUUUGGUGCGAACAUAGCUCAGACGCUGCUCGAUUGGAUAUACAAUGCAGGUUCUUGGAACCACGGACACGACUCUUCGAUUCAAGGCUCACAACACUUCGGGAUCUGAACGUUUUAGAUCCGGGGGCUGUUCGCGGUUUUGUCGCUUGUCACGGUUGUGGACUCAUCGUUGUAGCGUAAAUGAGGCUGGACUAUUCCAAGCGGAAAACAAAAAUAUUUCUUUCUCAAAGGACAAUCACCGGCCCAGAGGAGCACACCUUCUCUAACUACAUACCGGGUGCAGUACAUGACACGUCCGUGUAUUGACUAGUCUCUUGUACAUUUAGAUCUACCAUACGACUCGCGUAGCGCUAGCACGACAGUGCGGGUGUAGUCAUGUACUACUACUACUACUACAGUACUGCCGGGCGCCGAAGAACGGACCGCCGAUGAACGGCCAGGCUAUAAUUUCGACUUUUUUUAAGAACGGUCUAGGUAGAAACGUAAUGUACACUAUGAUGUACACUCAGACGUAUAGCUCUGCAUAAAUGUACAUGUACCAUCGAAUAAGAACGAAACUGCUGUGUUCGCUAAAAAUAAGAACGGGCUAGGCUAGAA